UGGCCAUAUGGUGGAACUGAAUCCCCAGAUUAGUUUGCUGAGAUAGGUGAUAUUAAGUAGCCUUAUGUCAUGAACCCAACUAGCGCUGGUGGGACCCCCAUUUACCACUAUGCGCCCCUGCACAGUACUCUCCUUGCCACUAUAGAACCUGCUCUCCAGGGAAGAGACCAGAAAGUACCUACUUCUUACCUACCUGAAUAGCAUUAAUUGUUU